rnacentral:lncRNA from 1 species
AUGGUGUAGAAGCAGAAGGUCACUUGACUGCAGUGAACCAACACUAGCGAGGAAGCCAAGCCUAUCCCAGAGAGACCAGAUAUUAGAAAUUCAUCCUUUGAAUGUCACAUGAGCCUUUGAGAUUGGAAUUCAAUACUAGAACAGGGAAGGAAUUUCAGUAAUGAAUGAGAUGGAAUUUUCCUUCCAUCCCAGAAGGCCUGAAGUUAGAAUUGUAUUGGUAUUAUCAACAUUUUCCUAGCUUUACCUUCAUAAUCUCUCAUUUUUGUUUUUCCACAGAGGUGAAUCACUUCAAAGAGAAGGACCAGAUUCUCAUGGACCCCACUGCCAUGCUGGCCAGACAUCUUGCUGCCAUUGUUUUCCUGUUAUUUACUCCCAAACAGAUGGUCUAUAAUGAAGAACUGACUUUUCUUUGUUCUCAAGCAAAGGACCUUUGGUAAGUUUCCAAAACAUAAACUCAUGUAAGUAAAUGGGAACUUUAGAGGUAUAAUCAAUCAGUGAUUCAAAAUAUUCUUUUAGGGACACCUCUAAUGGCUAUUUUUCCACAUGUCUAAAGGCAUUGUGCCUUCUUUGUAUGUGAAAACAAUUCUAUCAAUCUACCACAAUCAUAACAACAUCUGUUGGCUUUCCAAUAGUGACAUUAGAAUUAUACAUUCUAGAAAAUACAAAUUAGAAGGACUUUGCAGUUGAUCUAGUCCAGAUAACUUGUAAGCAGCUAGAGGUUCAAGGACUUGCUCAAGUUCACACUACCCAUUAAUAAGGAUUCAGAGAUUCAUCUGUAGUACUCUGAUUCUAUAACUCCCAGGCCAGCAUCAUUUCUACUUUACUUCAGAUUUGGUUUGAUCUAUGCUCUUUCUCACUGUCUCUGCUGAAUUAAUGACACACAUUUGUGAGAUGGAUGGCCAGAGCUAUUGUCAUUUUUCUAAAGAGAUGUCCAUCUGCCCUCUUCAGUUCAACAGAAUCCAUGCAAACUUUUCUUUCAAUGUCUUCUUUAUUUUUGUCAAGCCUGGGAAAAAUGAGAAAAAAAUCUGAGUGUCAGGCAUUGCAUUGAUUUCAUUGGAAAGCCUUUUCAUCAUAAACAACAAAUAGUUGUUGAACUCUCACUUUGCUUAGAGUAUACUUUAUCAUUUUCAUUUUUUCUCAUUCUGCUGGGUGUCUCCCUCUCGAUUUUUAUGUCUUUUCUGGAGAAUAUCUUUUGUUUAAAAUUAUUAUCAGUUUUCCUG